CUAAGGUAGCGAAAUUCCUUGUCGGGUAAGUUCCGACCUGCACGAAUGGCGUAAUGAUGGCCAGGCUGUCUCCACCCGAGACUCAGUGAAAUUGAACUCGCUGUGAAGAUGCAGUGUACCCGCGGCAAGACGGAAAGACCCCGUGAACCUUUACUAUAGCUUGACACUGAACAUUGAGCCUUGAUGUGUAGGAUAGGUGGGAGGCUUUGAAGUGUGGACGCCAGUCUGCAUGGAGCCGACCUUGAAAUACCACCCUUUAAUGUUUGAUGUUCUAACGUGGACCCGUAAUCCGGGUUGCGGACAGUGUCUGGUGGGUAGUUUGACUGGGGCGGUCUCCUCCUAAAGAGUAACGGAGGAGCACGAAGGUUGGCUAAUCCUGGUCGGACAUCAGGAGGUUAGUGCAAUGGCAUAAGCCAGCUUGACUGCGAGCGUGACGGCGCGAGCAGGUGCGAAAGCAGGUCAUAGUGAUCCGGUGGUUCUGAAUGGAAGGGCCAUCGCUCAACGGAUAAAAGGUACUCCGGGGAUAACAGGCUGAUACCGCCCAAGAGUUCAUAUCGACGGCGGUGUUUGGCACCUCGAUGUCGGCUCAUCACAUCCUGGGGCUGAAGUAGGUCCCAAGGGUAUGGCUGUUCGCCAUUUAAAGUGGUACGCGAGCUGGGUUUAGAACGUCGUGAGACAGUUCGGUCCCUAUCUGCCGU
rnacentral:rRNA from 1 species